ACCUCUGCAACAGAAAAACAAGCAUCAUUUAGCUAGGUUUAGUUUAGUUUAUUUGUUUUAUAGUUUGGUGGACAGGGAGCAGCCUUAGCCUAUUUGGUAAAUUUCCAGCUGUAGUCCCCGGCCAGUUGUCAACAGGCAACCUUAAAUACGUUAGUUAAUUUGUACCUAUUUACAUGAUAGGUAAAUGUACACAAAUGCAUGUGGUAUUGUUCACACAUUUGAAGAGUUUGCACGGGACACUUCAGCUGUGGCUGGAGCUCACCAGUUGGAUAUAGUUGAUGCGUUUCUGAGCCAGUUGUUGAAGGGCUCUCCUGGCUGUUGCCUGAAGUGGGAAAGCGAUUCCCUGUAGGGUCUGGUGCUUGCUCUCUACACUGAUCUCUACCUUCACCUGGGGGGGGAGAGAGGGGGCAGGGGUUUGUGUGCAUGUACACACAUAAACUCAAUCACCCCGUUUCUCAACAGUGUUUUGAGGACAAAUCAUGGGGGUAUGUUAACUGGGUGAAAAUAAAAGCCCUGCACUCCGAGCAUGGUGUACAAGGAAUGUCCACAAACAGAUUCCAGCAAUCAAUGAGGGAUAAUCGUUUGAAAAGUGACUCACCUGUUUAACCCUGCCCUGAAAAUGCAGCAAGCACAAGAAAGAGUUAAAAGCAAUAGGCCCACCACAUACGACAUCGACACGUUAGGCAAAUAUAGUCAGAAGUCCGGCCACACAGGUCUCGAGCAACCCAUGAAAUCAGUGCGGUAGGCAUGUUGUUGACCUCUGACCUCUGUGAGCUUGAUCCGCCGCAGCUCUUGCUCGGCCUGUGUGAGCGGGGCGGGCGCGGAGAGCGACGACACGUGACGCUGGUAGCCCAGCAGACAGAUGUCCUCCUGGUGCCGCAAGCAAAACAACGGCUCCUUUUACCAGAAGCCCUUCGAAACAAGGUCACCCAUUGGAUACAGACAGCCUGGACAUGACGUGCGCAAUGUGGACUGGCGCCCACUGCUCUGGUUUAUUUCAAUUUUUUUUUAUAUUUGACCUUUGACCUUUUCUGGAACUCACCUCAACCGUGCCGAACAACUCAUCCUUCACGUGGCCGCCGCCAAACUCUUUCUUCACGGUGGCACGCGUGGCUGCGUAGAGCAUCUUCUGUCUCACCUGCCGGAGUCGAAAGCAUUUGAUUGGUGGUUCACGCGUAUCUAUACUUUCAAAGGAGGACCCAUGUGUGCCGGCUGGUGACCUGUGGCAUGCCUACAUACCGGAGACUGGUCUGGAGACCAGGAUAUGAAGAUCCACUCAUAGCCCUGGGCGUUCUGAGUGUCCAGGCGAUACAGGAUGUAGCAGGGGUCCUGCUCAUCCAGCAGAGGCAGCAGGACACGGUCAUAGUCCUGGUCCCAGCUCU